CUUUGCUCCUACAAAUAAAAGGCAUUUCGUUGAAACAUUCUGAAACCAAACUUCACUAAUAAAACGUAUAUGAAAUAAGAAUACCCACAGCAGUGACUCACAUGGUCCCUAUUAGUUGCCAAGUGACAGAUUUACCUCGUUACAACUGAAUUCACUGGAUUUUAUUCAUAAUUCAAAUUGCUCUAGAGAAAAACCUGUGGUGCCACGUCCAGCUGACAAUUAGGUGUCAGGUUCUCCUCGCUACACAGAUGUGUUAGAGUCAUUUCAAACGUGGCAUUUAGACGGAAAGCACAAACAGCAGCUUCAUUUCUUCCUCUGAACUUCAUGGAAAUGAAAGUUGCAAGUAUGACUUAAUUUAAAAGGCACUUCAACUGAAUUAUAGACUUCUUUUUCCAGUGGAUUACUUCAAUGAGAACAGCUUUUGUUACACUUCACAAGCCAUGCGGACAGGUUUAACCUUGCUGAGUGCUGAACCAUCUUGUCCCAAACCAUGAAAGCGCUUAAAGAUCUCAGAAUCCCCAACAUAAAUAAGACUGCUCGUGAAUAAAAGGAGCCACCCAAGGCGAAGCACAGCGCAGUCACAGCGUCCAACGCCAGCUCACAGCGAGAGCGGGGUCCUUGCGAAGCAGGGGUAAGAUGCGGGGCUCUUGCAAAAUAAGGAUUUUGAGAAACUUAGAAGAAAGAAGCAGCAAAUAUUCUCCUAAGUAUUUUUUAACUCCAUUUGAAACUUCCUAACCUCAUUUGCCCAGAGAAAAAUAAAAAACAAAUCUACUUUAUAGUGAACAGUGAACACAGAUCACUGGUUCAUUAAUUAUUAAGGCAGGAACAGGAUUAGAUUUUUUUUAACACUUUGUUGUACUCAAGUCAUUCAUUCAGCAGCCCUGUUGAUUGUCAGCACAUAAAAUUUACAAAGCAUGCACAGCAUUUGGGAGAUCAAAGCUUCAUCCACGGAGGGAGGUCAACAAUGCAGAAGUUUUUAAAAUUACAGCUUAAAUAAAUAUGGAUUUACACACUACGAUUCCCCCAUACUUUGAUGUCAGGAAUUAAAUAAAGCUCAAGUUGUUUUUUAAAUGUAAUAACUUGUGAUGACCUAAAAUAAAACAAAAAAUGGCAACAAUUUCCAUUUUAUACGUGACAACACAGACCAAAAUAGGUGGCAGAAUUUCCCCCAGCCACAUGGUCCAUACGGGAUUAGAAAUCCAAGCGCUGGUAUGCCAGAACCUUCCCAGACUGCAGAAAUGCACACAAGUAUAAAAAGCUUUGCUACACAGCUAACAUCUGGAAAAAAAAAGUACGUGGCUCCAAAACAAGAAAUAUCUUCAGCCAGAAGAGAUCAAUAUAAAUUCUUUUGUUCAAGAUGUAAGCAGAGACUGGGAUUUUGCACAUGGAUGCUUUUGAGUUUUGAACUCCAAGGAUGAAAUUCUGAUUCAUUCUAUGAUUCUAUGAUAAAUUGAUUCUUCUGUAAUUGGGAACAAAAUUUUCAUUAAUUCCACAUGCAUCAGAAUAUUCUUUACACUUCAGCUUCUAAAAUAACAUCCUUUGACACAGGCAAGUGGGACAGGCUAAGAGUAGACUGGCUCCAAUUUUGAGAGAGCACUGGUUUGCUGAGGAGUAAGUGCAGAUACGGAGCCAGAUGCAAUGCCAUGGUGCAAGGUGCUGGAAGGCUUGUCUGGACAGAAGCUAGAUCCAAGCAGAAAGGCAUUCUGGAGGACAGCAUUAAAGAGAACACGAUGGGGAAGCAAAGAGAGCAAAACUCAGCCCUCCCUCCAAGCAGGUGAUGUUCCUGGGUCUCUAUAAACCUCUAUUUAAGCCACACAGAAAUAUAACCUUCCCUUUAUUAUUUUUCUCCCAGGUUAUAAA